rnacentral:lncRNA from 1 species
GUGCUAAGUGCCAGACUCUUUACAGUGUCCUCCAAUGAUGAUGAUGAUUGCUCAGGCUUUUGGAAAGGAGCCGAUUGAACUUGAUUUUGAUUAUUCUUGUGCGUUUUGCUCUAAUCUUGAAGUACUAGAGUCAUUCACUGGGGCCUCGGUUGUAGGCGUUCACUAUGUUGCCUUGCUCUUGCAUGAAUUCUGGAUACGCAGCUCCUAAUGGGCAUGCAAUGGCAGGCCUCACGCACAGCACAAACUUCAUUUGAUUGUGUCAUGGAGUUCAUAGCAAGGAUAGCAUCGAAUUUCCUCUUUAACUUUGCAAUCUGCGCAUUAGAAAAAGGAUCAUAUUAUUGCUACCAAUAUCACAUGUUUACCUUUUGUAUCUGUGUGUUGAGUUUCAUUCGCAAUUUGCUCGAAUGUAUAGUAAGGGGUGCAGUCAAACUCGGAUUUGAGAGGGUUUUAAAAGCUUAGUGUAGUCAACUAAAUGAUUUUAAAGGAUUUUUGAAAUCCAUGCAAAUCUAAGUGUAAUUAAUCGAGAUUUUAAUAGUUAUUUUUAAAGUCUAUCCAAAUGUAGGUGUAUUAAAAAAUUAAAGAUUUUGUAGAAUUUCAUUAAGUUGUAAAUUUUGUGAAAUUUAAGAACAAUAAGUAUAUAUAAACCAAAUAAAAUCUUAGUAUAUAUAACCAAAACCAAAUAGAAUCUUACUUCACACCAUAGGAUUUCAAAUUUUAAUAGUUAUUUUUAAAGUCUAUCCAAAUGUAGAUGUAUUAAAAAAUUAAAGAUUUUGUAGAAUUUCAUUAAGUUGUAAAUUUUGUGAAAUUUAAGAACAAUAAGUAUAUAUAAACCAAAUAAAAUCUUAGUAUAUAUAACCAAAACCAAAUAGAAUCUUACUUCACACCAUAGGAUUUCAAAUUCAUAGACCUCUUUUGAAUGUUUUACUCUCUCUUCUUCUCACUGCUUUCAACCACUUUUUUAGCUUUAUCUUCUCCCUUCAUCUCUGCAAUUUUUCUUCAAUUUUCAUUGCUGGGCUAUCUCAUUUAUGGAUAAAAAUGAUGCUAGGUUGCAUCAUUUCUCAUAUGGGUUCUUGGGUUCAUCUCUAUAAAUUUCGGAUAUGGGUUGCUGACACACCCCGAUCCUAGAAUCAAGGCGUGCUGGCCGUGCCAAAAGUGAGACACGGAAGCAAGAUAUUACAGAAAUAUGAAGGAAUUUAAACCAACCACUAGCAGUAAAACCUACUAGCAUAAAAGAGGGAAUUAUAAAGUAAAACACACGAAUUCAGAGCGUAGGUAUCAAGUGCAGUCAAGUAGGACCAUAAUUAAAAGUGCAACACCCGCAGGUGAGUCCUACAUGCUACGUCUGUCAGAAUGCCGAAAAAGACCUCGAGAGCCACCAACUGCUAACUAGAACCUGGAGGGGCGCAAAACAAAGAUGAGUGGGUCAGUAAAACUAAAAUUUUCCAAAACAUUUCAUUUAAAACAUUUCUAACCCCUCACCGUAAAACUUGUAUACUUUCCUAGAAAAAUAGUAUAUAAACAUAU